rnacentral:snRNA from 1 species
ACUUGAUGUUAGCUUUGUUAAAAAAUAAUAUUAUACAGGGAAUAUGAGCAGGGCCUGUGCACAAGGAUGACACACAAAUUCAUGAAGUGAUCCAUACCCAA